rnacentral:rRNA from 1 species
UACGUAGGGUGCAAGCGUUAAUCGGAAUUACUGGGCGUAAAGCGUGCGCAGGCGGUUGUGCAAGACAGAUGUGAAAUCCCCGGGCUCAACCUGGGAAUUGCAUUUGUGACUGCACGGCUAGAGUGUGUCAGAGGGGGGUAGAAUUCCACGUGUAGCAGUGAAAUGCGUAGAGAUGUGGAGGAAUACCGAUGGCGAAGGCAGCCCCCUGGGAUAACACUGACGCUCAUGCACGAAAGCGUGGGGAGCAAACAGGAUUAGAACCUACCGUAGUC